rnacentral:lncRNA from 1 species
AUGGAGGGCCAUGAUCCAAAGGAACAAGAAGCUGAUAAUUGGUGUCCAGAGCUUCAAAACCUCAGAUGACAGCUUAAGAGACCAUUUUGAGAAAUGCGGCACACUUACAGACUGGAUGGUAAUGAGAGUUCCCAGACAAAAUGUUCCAGGGCUUUGGUUCUAUGACCUGCUCUUAUGUUGAAGGGGUGGAUGCUGCAGUGUGUGCUCGGCCACCCAAGGUUGAUGGGCGUGGGGUGGAACCAAAGAGAGCUGUUUCUAGAGAGGACUCUGUAGAGCCUGGGGCCCAUUUAACGGUGAAGAAACUGAGAGACUGCUUUGAGAAGUAUGGCAAGAUUGAAACCAUAGCUGUUAUGGAAGACAGUCAGAGUAGGAAACAGAGAGGAUUGCUUUUGUGGCUUUUGAUGACCAUGACACAGAUGAUAAAACUGUUGUUCAAAAAUACAGGGCUAUUAACAGGCAUAAUCAUGAAGUGAAAAGGGCCCUUUCUGAACAAGAGAUGCAGUCUGCUGGAUCACAGAGAGGUCUUGGGGGUGGAUCUGGCAACUUUAUGGGUCAUGGAGGAAACUUUGAUGGAAGGGGGGCUAUGGUGGUAGAGGUGGUGGCAGCAGAGGUAGCUAUGGAGUUGGUGAUAGUAGAUAAAAUGGGUUUGGAUGGAGGUGAUGGUGGUGGUCCUGGUUACAGUAGUAGAGAAAGUUAUGGAGGUGGUGGACCAGGAUAUGGAAAUCAAGGUGGUGGAUGUGGUGGUAGUGGAGGAGGAGGGGGAUUUGAUGGUUACAAUGAAGGAGGAGUUACAAUGGUGGAGGUGACUAUGGUGGUGGUGGGAACUAUAAUGGCUUUGGAAAUUACAGUGGACAGCAGUAAUCGAUGUAUGGACCCAUGACGGGGGGGGGGCAGGUUUGUGGAAGAAGCUCAGACAGUCCCUACUGUGGGGGCUAUGGAUCUGGUGGCUAUGGGAGCAGA